rfam:Bombyx mori DNA, contig: Bm_scaf126_contig38716, strain: p50T/Dazao, build 2, whole genome shotgun sequence.
UUAAUUCAAAUUUGUAUGGAGUUGGUAUGAAAAGCGCCCCUAGCGGCAAACGUAGUGAAGUUGUUCCAACUCCAUACAAAUUUGAGUUA